GGACUAGAAUGAAUGGAUGAAUGAAGCAUUUCUUUUUUAAAUCAAAAUUUAUAAGUAAUUUUUUUAGUGCAGAAACUAAAAUAAAUAUGAGGGACGAGAAGACCCUAUUAAGCUUUAUGAAAGUUCAUUUUGUUGGGGACACAGAAGAAUAAAAUUUCUUUUUUAUAGUUUUUUUUAUAAAAGAAGAUAUGUUAUUAAUGAUUAUAGAACAAGUUACUAUAGGGAUAACAGCAUAAUUUUUUUUAAAAGUUCUUAUUUACGAAGGAGUUUAUGACCUCGAUGUUGGAUUAAAAAUAUUAUAUGAUGAAGUUGUUGUAUGAAUUAGUCUGUUCGACUAUUAAAAUUUUA
rnacentral:rRNA from 1 species